rnacentral:rRNA from 1 species
CACGUAGGGUGCGAGCGUUGUCCGGAAUUAUUGGGCGUAAAGAGCUCGUAGGCGGUUUGUUGCGUCGGCUGUGAAAUCCCGAGACUCAACCUCGGGUCUGCAGUCGAUACGAGCAAACUAGAGUGUUGCAGGGGAGACUGGAAUUCCUGGUGUAGCGGUGAAAUGACGCAGAUAUCAGGAGGAACACCGGUGGCGAAGGCGGGUCUCUGGGCAACAACUGACGUGGAGGA